GAUGAACGCUAGCGGCAGGCCUAACACAUGCAAGUCGAGGGGCAUCGCGGUGCAGCAAUGCACUGGCGGCGACCGGCGUACGGGUGCGUAACGCGUAUGCAACCUGCCCCGCACCGGGGGAUAGCCCGCCGAAAGGCGGAUUAAUACCCCAUGGCCCCGGGGGCCCGCAUGGGCAUCCGGGUAAAGCUUUGGCGGUGCGGGAUGGGCAUGCGUGCCAUUAGCUGGCUGGUGGGGUAACGGCCCACCAGGGCAACGAUGGCUAGGGGGUCUGAGAGGAUGGUCCCCCACACUGGGUACUGAGACACGGACCGGACUCCUACGGGAGGCAGCAGUGAGGAAUAUUGGUCAAUGGGCGGAAGCCUGAACCAGCCAUGCCGCGUGCGGGAUGAAGGCCCUACGGGUUGUAAACCGCUUUUUGAGAGGAUGAGGAAGGACGGUACUCUCAGAAUAAGUCUCGGCUAACUACGUG
rnacentral:rRNA from 1 species